rnacentral:rRNA from 1 species
GAUGAACGCUGGCGGCGUGCCUAAUACAUGCAAGUCGAGCGAACGGACGAGAAGCUUGCUUCUCUGAUGUUAGCGGCGGACGGGUGAGUAACACGUGUAUAACCUACCUAUAAGACUGGGAUAACUUCGGGAAACCGGAGCUAAUACCGGAUAAUAUUUUGAACCGCAUGGUUCAAAAGUGAAAGACGGUCUUGCUGUCACUUAUAGAUGGAUCCGGGCUGCAUUAGCUAGUUGGUAAGGUAACGGCUUACCAAGGCAACGAUGCAUAGCCGACCUGAGAGGGGGGUCGGCCACACUGGAGCUGAGACACGGACCAGAGUCCUACGGGAGGCAGCAGUAGGGAAUCUUCCGCAAUGGGCGAAAGCCUGACGGAGCAACGCCGCGUGAGUGAUGAAGGUCUUCGGAUCGUAAAGCUCUGUUAUUAGGGAAGAACAUAUGUGUAAGUAACUGUGCACAUCUUGACGGUACCUAAUCAGAAAGCCACGGCUAACUACGUG